rnacentral:rRNA from 1 species
AAUGAACGCUGGCGGCAGGCCUAACACAUGCAAGUCGAACGGAUCCUUCGGGAUUAGUGGCGGACGGGUGAGUAACGCGUGGGAACAUACCCAAAGGUACGGAAUAGCCUCGGGAAACUGGGAGUAAUACCGUAUGUGCUCGAAAGAGGAAAGAUUUAUCGCCUUUGGAUUGGCCCGCGUUGGAUUAGGUAGUUGGUGGGGUAAUGGCCUACCAAGCCGACGAUCCAUAGCUGGUUUGAGAGGGUGAUCAGCCACACUGGGACUGAGACACGGCCCAGACUCCUACGGGAGGCAGCAGUGGGGAAUUUUAGACAAUGGGGGAAACCCUGAUCUAGCCAUGCCGCGUGAUCGAUGAAGGCCUUAGGGUUGUAAAGAUCUUUCAGGUGGGAAGAUAAUGACUGUACCACCAGAAGAAGCCCCGGCUAACUCCGUGCCAGCCGCCGCGGUAA